AGGGUUUGAUCAUGGCUCAGAACGUACGCUGGCGGCACGCCUAACACAUGCAAGUCGAACGAAGUAGCAAUACUUAGUGGCAGACGGGUGAGUAACAUGUAGGUAUCUGCCCUUUGGCCUGGAAUAACACGAGGAAACUUGUGCUAAUACCGGAUAAGUCUUUACGGAGAAAGCUUUAUGCACCAUUGGAUGAGCCUGCACUUGAUUAGUUUGUUGGUGGGGUAAUGGCCUACCAAGACUUUGAUCAAUAGCUGAUUUGAGAGGAUGAUCAGCCACAUUGGGACUGAGACACGGCCCAAACUCCUACGGGAGGCAGCAGUGGGGAAUCUUGCACAAUGGAGGAAACUCUGAUGCAGCGAUGCCGCGUGAGUGAAGAAGGCCUUUGGGUUGUAAAGCUCUUUCGUCGGGGAAGAAAAUGACUGUACCCGAAUAAGAAGGUCCGGCUAACUUCGUGCCAGCAGCCGCGGUAAUACGAAGGGACCUAGCGUAGUUCGGAAUUACUGGGCUUAAAGAGUUCGUAGGUGGUUGAAAAAGUUGGUGGUGAAAUCCCAGAGCUUAACUCUGGAACUGCCAUCAAAACUUUUCAGCUAGAGUAUGAUAGAGGAAAGCAGAAUUUCUAGUGUAGAGGUGAAAUUCGUAGAUAUUAGAAAGAAUACCAAUUGCGAAGGCAGCUUUCUGGAUCAUUACUGACACUGAGGAACGAAAGCAUGGGUAGCGAAGAGGAUUAGAUACCCUCGUAGUCCAUGCCGUAAACGAUGUGUGUUAGACGUUGGAAAUUUAUUUUCAGUGUCGCAGCGAAAGCGAUAAACACACCGCCUGGGGAGUACGACCGCAAGGUUAAAACUCAAAUGAAUUGACGGGGACCCGCACAAGUAGUGGAGCAUGUGGUUUAAUUCGAAGAUACGCGCAGAACCUUACCAACACUUGACAUGUUCGUCGCGACUUUAAGAGAUUAAAGUUUUCGGUUCGGCCGGACGAAACACAGGUGCUGCAUGGCUGUCGUCAGCUCGUGUCGUGAGAUGUUGGGUUAAGUCCCGCAACGAGCGCAACCCUCACUUUUAGUUGCCAUCAUUAAGUUGGGCACUCUGAAAGAACUGCCAGUGAUAAGCUGGAGGAAGGUGGGGAUGACGUCAAGUCCUCAUGGCCCUUACGUGUUGGGCUACACACGUGCUACAAUGGUAUCUACAACAGGAAGCAAGACGGCGACGUCAAGCAAAUCCUUAAAAGAUACCUCAGUUCGGAUUGCACUCUGCAACUCGAGUGCAUGAAGCUGGAAUUACUAGUAAUCGUGGAUCAGCGUGCCACGGUGAAUGCGUUCCCGGGUCUUGUACACACCGCCCGUCACACCAUGGGAGUUGGUUCUACCUUAAGGCAAGGUUUAAAACCCUUGACCACGGUAUAGUCAGCGACUGGGGUGAAGUCAUAACAAGGUAGCCGUA
rnacentral:rRNA from 1 species